AAGCCCAGUCUAGCCCAAACACCGAUCCACACUAAACCAACCCCUCCACCAAACUAAAACAUUCUAUGCCCCUCCCAGUAUAGGCGAUAGAAAGGUAUCCCCAGGAGCGAUAGAGACUUAGUACCGUAAGGGAAAGAUGAAAUAACAAUGACAAAUCAAGCACCAAACAGCAAAGAUCAGCCCUUGUACCUUUUGCAUCAUGGUUUAGCAAGAAUUAGCCAAGCAAAACGCCAAUUUAAGCUUGCCCCCCCGAAACCCAAGCGAGCUACUUACGAGCAGCUAUUCACUGAGCGAACCCGUCUCUGUUGCAAAAGAGUGGGAUGACUCGUCAGUAGAGGUGAAAAGCCAACCGAGCUGGGUGAUAGCUGGUUGCCUAUGAAACGAAUCUAAGUUCACUCCUAAUUCACCUCCAAGGGCCUACAUCAAACCCACAUGUAAUGAAUUAAGAGCAAUUUAAAGGAGGUACAGCUCCUUUAAAAAAGAACUCACUCUCCCCUAGCGGAUAAACAACCCUCCCCACCCCUGCCUGUUGGCCUUCAAGCAGCCAUCACCAAAGAAUGCGUCAAAGCUCAACACCAAAAAAAUCCAAAAACCCCAUGACUCCCUUUUUCCUAAUAGGCCAACUUAUUACAUAUAAGAGAAUCUAUGCUAAAAUGAGUAACUAGGUUCACCCUCUACGGCGCAAGCUUACAUCCACACAUUAUUAACAUUCACGAAUACCAAAACCCCUACAAGACAAAGUAUUACAACCCCUGUUACCCCACCUAUGGAGCGCCACAAAGAAGAUUAAAAUCCGUAAAAGGAACUAGGCAAACCCAGGACCCGACUGUUUACCAAAAACAUAGCCUUUAGCUAACCAAGUAUUAAAGGUGAAGCCUGCCCAGUGACAACAGACUGUUCAACGGCCGCGGUAUCCUAACCGUGCAAAGGUAGCGCAAUCAAUUGUCCCAUAAAUCGGGACCUGUAUGAAUGGCCAAACGAGGCCCUAACUGUCUCUUACGGAUAAUCAGUGAAAUUGAUCUCCCUGUGCAAAAGCAGGCAUAACCUCAUAAGACAAGAAGACCCUGUGGAACUUCAAAAUCAACAGCCACCCCCACAAACCAUCUCACCCCUACCAGGUAUACAUUCCCUAGGGUUUACCACUGGCCUGUAUUUUUCGGUUGGGGCGACCUUGGAGAAAAACCCAUCCUCCAAAACCCAGACCACAUCUCUUGACCAAGAACAACCAAUCAACGUACGAACAGUAAUCUGACCCAAUACAAUUGAUCAAUGAACCCAGCUACCCCAGGGAUAACAGCGCAAUCUCCCUCAAGAGCCCACAUCGACAGGGAGGUUUACGACCUCGAUGUUGGAUCAGGACAUCCUAGUGGUGCAGCCGCUACUAAGGGUUCGUUUGUUCAACGAUUAACAGUCCUACGUGAUCUGAGUUCAGACCGGAGCAAUCCAGGUCGGUUUCUAUCUAUGACAAACCUCUUCCAGUACGAAAGGACAGAAGAGAUGAGGCCCAUACUAUAAGCACGCCUUCGCCCUAAAAAAUGAACCCAACUAAAUUACCAAGGGCUCUCCCACAUCCCCUCCUAGAAAAGGACCG
rnacentral:rRNA from 1 species